rnacentral:rRNA from 1 species
AUGGCUCAGGAUGAACGCUGGCGGCGUGCCUAAUACAUGCAAGUCGAACGCGAAAUCUCGGGUUGAGUGGCGAACGGGUGAGUAACACGUAGGUAAUCUACCGUAGAGACGGGGAUAACGAUUGGAAACGAUCGCUAAUACCGGAUAGUAUAUGGAGUCGCAUGAAUCCAUAUUUAAAGAUACAAAUGUAUCACUCUAUGAUGAGCCUGCGUCGCAUUAGCUAGUUGGUGAGAUAAUAGCCCACCAAGGCGAUGAUGCGUAGCCGGACUGAGAGGUUGAACGGCCACAUUGGGACUGAGACACGGCCCAGACUCCUACGGGAGGCAGCAGUAGGGAAUUUUCGGCAAUGGGGGAAACCCUGACCGAGCAACGCCGCGUGAAUGAAGAAGUAUUUCGGUAUGUAAAAUUCUUUUGUAUAGGAAGAACGAUCAGUAGAGUGGAAAGCUACGGAAGUGACGGUACUAUACGAAUAAGCCCCGGCUAACUACGUGCCAGCCGCCGC